CCAGACUCCUACGGGAGGCAGCAGUGGGGGAUAUUGCACAAUGGGGGGAACCCUGAUGCAGCGACGCCGCGUGGGUGAAGGAGUGCUUCGGCAUGUAAAGCCCUAUCGGCAGGGAAGAAGCAAGACGGUACCUGACUAAGAAGCCCCGGCUAACUACGUGCCAGCAGCCGCGGUAAUACGUAGGGGGCGAGCGUUAUCCGGAUUCACUGGGUGUAAAGGGAGCGUAGACGGCCAAGCAAGCCAGGGGUGAAAGCCCGGGGCCCAACCCCGGGACUGCCCUUGGAACUGCAUGGCUGGAGUGCGGGAGGGGCAGGCGGAAUUCCUAGUGUAGCGGUGAAAUGCGUAGAUAUUAGGAGGAACACCAGUGGCGAAGGCGGCCUGCUGGACGACAACUGACGGUGAGGCGCGAAAGCGUGGGGAGCAAACAGGAUUAGAUACCCCGGUACG
rnacentral:rRNA from 1 species